UACGUAGGGUGCGAGCGUUGUCCGGAAUUAUUGGGCGUAAAGAGCUCGUAGGCGGUGUGUCGCGUCGGCCGUGAAAACCUGGGGCUCAACUCUGGGCGUGCGGUCGAUACGGGCAUCACUGGAGUUCGGCAGGGGAGACUGGAAUUCCUGGUGUAGCGGUGAAAUGCGCAGAUAUCAGGAGGAACACCGGUGGCGAAGGCGGCCAACUGGACCAUUACUGACGCUGAGGCGCGAAAGCGUGGGGAGCAAACAGG
rnacentral:rRNA from 1 species